UAACGCGUGAGGAACCUGCCUCAAAGAGGGGGACAACAGUUGGAAACGACUGCUAAUACCGCAUAAGCCCACGGCUCGGCAUCGAGCAGGGGGAAAAGGAGCAAUCCGCUUUGAGAUGGCCUCGCGUCCGAUUAGCUAGUUGGUGAGGUAAUGGCCCACCAAGGCGACGAUCGGUAGCCGGACUGAGAGGUUGAACGGCCACAUUGGGACUGAGACACGGCCCAGACUCCUACGGGAGGCAGCAGUGGGGAAUAUUGCACAAUGGGGGAAACCCUGAUGCAGCGACGCCGCGUGGAGGAAGAAGGUCUUCGGAUUGUAAACUCCUGUUGUUGAGGAAGAUAAUGACGGUACUCAACAAGGAAGUGACGGCUAACUACGUGCCAGCAGCCGCGGUAAAACGUAGGUCACAAGCGUUGUCCGGAAUUACUGGGUGUAAAGGGAGCGCAGGCGGGAGAACAAGUUGGAAGUGAAAUCCAUGGGCUCAACCCAUGAACUGCUUUCAAAACUGUUUUUCUUGAGUAGUGCAGAGGUAGGCGGAAUUCCCGGUGUAGCGGUGGAAUGCGUAGAUAUCGGGAGGAACACCAGUGG
rnacentral:rRNA from 1 species